UUACAUGCAGUGAAUACAAAGCGAACUAUUCUUUCGUCUUUUACUAAAGAAUACCGCGUAUUCGCUGCUUUUAAGUGGCAUACGCCUAUUUUUGGAGAGACCCUUCAACUACUGAAGGGC
rnacentral:snRNA from 1 species